ACUAAUAGCACCUGAACAGUUUGCAGUAUGAACACAGCUCGAUAAAUACUGAUGAUGUGGUUCGGUUUUCAAAAUUCACACUCAGAAAAAUGUUGUGUUCAGAAAGUUUUAACCUCGUGUUGUUAGCGUUGAUAUUAGAGUGAAUUGAUCAAACCUAUUCAAACUUAAAGGAAUGUGGAAUGGGACAAAAUAUGCGAUGGCAUUGUCACAAUAAUUACCGGCUAUACAUUAUGUGGUGUGAGUGAAUGCUGUUUAAAAUGACGAGCAAGACGACACGUCAUAAAAUCAGACUUCGGUUCGCAUACCUACCAAUAACUCGCAACGACUGACUUCUCGAUAUAUUGAGCAAAAUUGAUUUUAUGUCUCAGUGGUGUGUCCACAGUGGUUGCAACGGAGGUUUCAGAAACAGAAUAUCUGCAGCAAUACGUUAUAUAUUACGUGUGUUAAAGGUAUUCGUCAUGGCAUCGAAGUGCAGCGUUUCGAAUCAGUCGGAUGAUCGGCGCUUUAUUAUAUUUCGGAUAUUUUUACUGCGGAGACUGCCUAUAUAUAUAUAUGAUGUUAUAUUCUCGAUGUGAAAUAUUCUUCUCGCCGUUUAUUUAUUUUGGUGCGUGUGUAUUGUGGCUGAAGUGGAAAAUAUUAUCUCCUAUUGAAUUUAAAUACAUAUUAUAUCAAAUCUCCAACAAUAAAAAGAAAGCCAACUGAACUCCUUCAAGGACGUAUUGUAAACCGGACAAAAUAUUAAGUACAAAUAUUAUCUGGUUUACCAGAAAACAAGGACUUACUCAAAAUUGUUGCCGGAACAGAUGUAAAAAUGGAGUGGUGACCAGUGUUAGAACUUGCAAAGCAUUUGAGUAAAAGUUUUCAAAUACUUUUUUUUAUUACUUUUAAUUUGAAAUACCUUUUUUACCACUCAAUUACAAAUACUACUUUAUUAAAUAAUUGUUUGAUUCUUCGGAUUUUAAAUUGUAUUCUGUUUGUAAUUUUUAUUAACUCUAUGCCUUUAUAUAUCAACGUUAGAACGAUUAUAUAUCACAGCCACACAGCCCACAGAGUAUAUAUAUAUAGUCUUCUAUAGUUCCAUAUUUUGUGUGACAAAAAUAAUGGAGAUCGCAUAAGAACUAAUAACCAACACAACCCACACAAUUUUUGUCAUAUUAAAUAUGAAACAACUUUUAUAAGCUAUAAUUAUUUAUGAACUAUUAUGUAUUGUUUAGUAACAAAGAUAAACCAUUUACAAAUUUUUUUUAUCACUAAAAUUAUUGUUCCCUUUUUAAACAUAAAUACAGCGAGUGCAUUGCUAUUUUUAA